rnacentral:rRNA from 1 species
CUACGGGAGGCAGCAGUGAGGAAUAUUGGCCGAUGGGCGGGAGCCUGAACCAGCCAAGUCGCGUGAGGGAAGACGGUCCUAUGGAUUGUAAACCUCUUUAGGCGGGGAGCAAUGCCGGGCACGCGUGUCCGGAGGGAGAGUACCCGCAGAAUAAGCAUCGGCUAACUCCGUGCCAGCAGCCGCGGUAAUACGGAGGAUGCGAGCGUUAUCCGGAUUUAUUGGGUUUAAAGGGUGCGUAGGCGGAUUUUUAAGUCAGCGGUAAAAUGUCCGGGCUCAACCCGGGCCGGCCGUUGAAACUGGGGAUC